GCAGGGGCUGUGGGUCAGUGGUUGAGUAUUUUCUUUGCAUGAAAAAGGUCCUAGUUUCAAACCUUAGUACCUGCA
rnacentral:tRNA from 1 species